AGCGAACGCUGGCGGCAGGCUUAACACAUGCAAGUCGAGCGGGCGUAGCAAUACGUCAGCGGCAGACGGGUGAGUAACGCGUGGGAACAUACCUUUUGGUUCGGAACAACACAGGGGAAACUUGUGCUAAUACCGGAUAAAGCCCUUACGGGGAAAGAUUUAUCGCCGAAAGAUUGGCCCGCGUCUGAUUAGCUAGUUGGUGAGGUAACGGCUCACCAAGGCGACGAUCAGUAGCGGUCUGAGAGGAUGAUCAGCCACAUUGGGACUGAGACACGGCCCAAACUCCUACGGGAGGCAGCAGUGGGGAAUAUUGGACAAUGGGCGCAAGCCUGAUCCAGCCAUGCCGCGUGAGUGAUGAAGGCCCUAGGGUGU
rnacentral:rRNA from 1 species